rnacentral:misc_RNA from 1 species
CUUNNNCGAGAGUAGUACUAGGAUGGGUGACCCCCUGGGAAGUCCUCGUGUUGCACCCCCCCCCUUUUUUUUGCAUNUUUUUCGCCUUUUUGGGGGAANGUGGCGAAAGGAAACGCGCGCGUACGANAGAACGCGGNUNACUNAANGNGCACGCGCGANGUAAAAACUCACAACGCGCGGCACCGACACGUGGGAACGCAGGCACAAAAUCGGACAAUCGCAGCGGUUGGGAAUAUAGGAGUAAAAA